CUACCCUUGACAUGUCGGUCGCGAGAACCAGAGAUGGAUCUCUUCAGUUCGGCUGGACCGAACACAGGUGCUGCAUGGCUGUCGUCAGCUCGUGUCGUGAGAUGUUGGGUUAAGUCCCGCAACGAGCGCAACCCUUGCCUUUAGUUGCCAUCAUUCAGUUGGGCACUCUAGAGGGACUGCCGGUGAUAAGCCGGAGGAAGGUGGGGAUGACGUCAAGUCCUCAUGGCCCUUACGGGUAGGGCUACACACGUGCUACAAUGGCGGUGACAGUGGGCAGCGACACAGCAAUGUGAUGCUAAUCCCAAAAAGCCGUCUCAGUUCGGAUUGCACUCUGCAACUCGGGUGCAUGAAGUCGGAAUCGCUAGUAAUCGCUAAUCAGCAGGUAGCGGUGAAUACGUUCCCGGGCCUUGUACACACCGCCCGUCACACCAUGGGAGUUGGUUCUACCUGAAGACGGUGCGCUAACCCGCAAGGGAGGCAGCCGGCCACGGUAGGGUCAGCGACUGGGGUG
rnacentral:rRNA from 1 species